rnacentral:rRNA from 1 species
UCCAGAGGGUGCGAGCGUUAAUCGGAAUUACUGGGCGUAAAGCGCACGUAGGUGGCGACGCAAGUCGGGUGUGAAAGCCUCGGGCUUAACCUGGGAAGUGCAUUAGAGACUGCAUUGCUAGAGUAUGGAAGAGGAAGGCGGAAUUCCCGGUGUAGCGGUGAAAUGCGUAGAUAUCGGGAGGAAUAUCAGUGGCGAAGGCGGCCCUCUGGUCCAGUACUGACACUGAGGUGCGAAAGCGUGGGGAGCAAACAGG